GCCAUGCAGGUGAGCCCUCUGACAUCCCCCAGCGUUCCUGCCAACCCCAGAGGUGGCAGGCUACGGAUCCCCUUGAACCAGGGUUAUCCAAGACCUUUGGGGCCAUGGGAUGGACACCCACUCAGGCCUGGCUCAGGGGACUGAGGGGACACAGGCUUUUCUGAAAUCAGGAAAGGCCCAGGCAGACCAGGACAGUUGGCCUCCCAGGCCAGGAGUGGACCCUGGGAAAGUCACUGGAGGUGACCACCUUAGUGUGGCGUUUUGAUGAAGGAGCUUGGACUCUGAGACCCCCCUUUCCUGACUGCCCUCCACCCUGCCCCACCCCAUGGCUGAGGGUGCUGUGUCGAGUCCUGGCUCCAUCCUCCUGCCCCAGGCACUGUGGGCAGUUGGAGAGGGACCCUGAGGAUACCUGGUCCCUGGUGAGCAUCGAGCCUGCCGUCCUUUGUGCUUGCUCCGAACAGCUGAUGAUUCAUCCCCACCGUGAUCUGGGCGUGUGCUCCUCGCGUCCAGCUGGAUGCUAGCGUCUCCACCACACGCUCCUUAGACGCUGCCCUCCUGGGGGCUGUGAGACUCCAGCAGCGCUGUGGCCUUCCUGACUGGGGACACUCUGCCCCUCCCGGCGCAGCCGCCUCUUGGAGACAGCAUGCCUUGCUGGACACAUCCCUUGUGUGCCAACUGACCAUCUAGUGUCCAUGGCCCCGUCGCCUUCCAUCUGACUCUCACACCGUGCCGGUGUUGCCCCCACCCUGAAUCAGCAACCAGAGAUGACCUCAGCUCCGAGCCGGCUGGAAUUAAAAAGCUGCCCUGCCUUUCCUGCAGAAACUCCAAUAAGGCUCCCACCUUGGGCUUCCCCUCGCUCGCUCCUGCUUCUGCCCCCUGACCCAAACCUGGUGCUCCCCUUGUGGGCCUGCACAGUGUGGCGUGUCCCCUCCUCUCGGGAAAUGUGGACGAUCAGAAAUAGAAGCCCUAGAUGGAAGGGACAUUUUCAGGUGGGGUGUUCGUGUUGACAAUGUCCUCCAGAGUCUGUGUGCGUUUAUGCUGCCACCACGGCCAGUGCUGAGCAUCCUCGGUUACGUGAAGCGUCACCAACUGGACAGGGAGGACGCAGUGUUGUGACCUGCGUCCCUCUGGCUCCUGGUAAAGUUGAACUCUGCUCCUGUGUUCCGUGGUCGCUGACAUUUACUUUCUUGGGAAUUCCCUAGUUCUAGCCUUGGCUUGUCCUUCAAAUUGUGUCACUGAGACUUUCGUUUUCAACUUGGAGAAGUUCUUUGCACCUUAAGGGGAUUGUUAUGAGUUGAUUUAUGUCCUCCAUAUUCUUAUGUUGAUGCCCUAAUGCCCAAUAUCUCAGAACGUGACCUUUUUUGGGAAAUAGAGUCCUUGCCGAUGUAAUCGUUAAGAUAGGUCCUAUGAAGAAGGGUGGGCCCCUAAUCCAAUAGGACUGUGUCCUUAUAGAAAGGCGACAUUUGGGCAAAGACACACACACAGGGAGAAGGCCAUGCGGAGAUGGAGGCAGAGACUGGGGAGUGCUUCUACAAGCCAACGAACGCCAAAGAUUGCCUGCAAAGCAUGUGAAGCCGGGAGAAACGUGGGACAGAUCCUCUCCCAGGCCCUAGAAGGGACCAGCCCUGCCCACCCCCGAUCUCGGGCUUCUGGCCUCCAGACCAAGACAGUCCACUUCUGCUGUUUCAGCCACAGUUUGUGGUCCUUUGUUACGGCAGGCCCAGCAACCGAAUACCAGGAUGAAACCCACGUCUGCAGCGCUUGCCCACACGUUCUCCGGUUCUGCCAUGUGGAGGAGGAAAGGCAUUUCCGGUCCUCUCUCCCCAGGGACCCUGAGGUUCUCAGGGCUGGCCCUGCAUGUCUCAUGUCACGGAGACACUGGGCUGCCUGCUCCACUUUCCUCCUGGAAAGGAGCCCGAGAUGACACGACACAAACAGCCCUCAGUCUCAAUCCCUCCUUCCGUGGCCCCCGCUGCGUUUGUCACCCUAGUGACUGUGGAGAGCCACCUGACGGGGACCUCCAGCUACAAGCAUUUGAUGGUCCCGUCGUUCUCAGAAGUGAAUCUUAGAUAAGAGAUGCAUAUGCCCAGUUCUAGCAAAGAGUCAAAGAUGGAGCUGCUUUUGCCACCAGGUUGGGCUGAUUCCAUGAUGCUGAACAAGGGCCUCAGAACAAGAAGUGGCCGACCCAGCACAGAUGUCUAAACUGAGAAUGGUGUGGGCACAGAGAACGGCACAGUGUGGACACAGGGUGUUCACACCAGUGCAGACCCAGGAGGCCUCAGGGCCUCGAAUGUGCUGGGUCAGAGCCAACGGGCCCAUCCACACGCAUGCCAGUGUUGACAAUGUAGCAAGAUGGACGUGGUUUCUACUCCAUGCUGUGCUGUGUGUCGCCUGCCUCUGCUCUCCUCCCCAUUCCCGCUAUGCACCAUGUUUCCUAGGGGCCAAGGGGCUGCAAGCUCAUGCCACGAGCGCCAGUGCCCAUCGGUGGCUCUGCUCUGGGAGAGCCAGAAGAAUGUAGGGGAAGGAUCCACUCUCCCCGCUUCAAGUUGGCAUCAGCAGCCACCAGGAUCAGGGCAGACGUCCCUGUCCUGCUCAAGGUGGCCCCUCAUCAGUACACCCAGGACCAAUGGCAUCUCAGCUCCAACAGCUGGAGCAGCGCAGGCUCAGCGGGGCCGAGGGCAGCUCCUGCCACCGGGAGUGCCACCUGCCUUUCCCUCCUCCAAGCCCCCAUUCUCCCUCUGCUCCCCCAGCACCCAGGGAGCCAAUUCCUGGUGCUGAAGUCCCCUCUGUGGAACACCAGCUGGAUUUCCUGACAGCACCCUGACUGUGGGCGUACUGUUCUUAGUGAAGCCACAAACCACUGAGUGAAGGAGCUCCUCCGGGCCAGGGGGAGCCAGAGCCGUGUGCCACAGGGUCAUGCCCGAGCACCACCGCCACAUCCUCCUGCAAGUACAGAUGCAAGCGCCAUGCGCCCGCAUCGCCCCUCCGGCCUCGCCCUGCAGAUCCA